UACGUAGGGAGCGAGCGUUGUCCGGAUCCAUUGGGCGUAAAGAGCUCGUAGGCGGCUUGGUAAGUCGGAUGUGAAACCUCCAGGCUCAACCUGGAGUCGCCAUCCGAUACUGCCAUGGCUAGAGUCCGGUAGGGGCCCACGGAAUUCCUGGUGUAGCGGUGAAAUGCGCAGAUAUCAGGAGGAACACCUGUGGCGAAAGCGGCUCACUGGACCACAACUGACGCUGAGGCGCGAAAGCUAGGGGAGCAAACAGG
rnacentral:rRNA from 1 species